AUUGAACGCUGGCGGUAGGCCUAACACAUGCAAGUCGAACGCGAAAGUCCUUCGGGAUGAGUAGAGUGGCGGACGGGUGAGUAACGUGUAGGAAUCUAUACUGUAGUGGGGGAUAACGUUUCGAAAGGAACGCUCAUACCGCAUUCGCCGCGAGGGGGAAAGCGGUGGAUCUUCGGACCUCGUGCUCUAGGAGGAGCCCGCGUCGGAUUUGCAAGUUGGUGAGGUAAAGGCUCACCAAGGCGACGAUCCGUAGCUGGUCGGAGAGGAUGAUCAGCCACACCGGAACUGAGACACGGUCCGGACUCCAACGGGAGGCAGCAGUGGGGAAUAUUGCGCAAUGGGCGAAAGCCUGACGCAGCCAUACCGCGUGUGUGAAGAAGGCCUUCGGGUUGUAAAGCACUUUCAGUGGGGAGGAAAAGCUGGUGGCUAAUAUCCAUCGGCCGUGACGCUACCCACAGAAGAAGCACCGGCUAAUUCCGUGCCAGCCGCCGCCGUAAAAC
rnacentral:rRNA from 1 species